UACGUAGGGGGCUAGCGUUGUCCGGAAUCAUUGGGCGUAAAGCGCGUGUAUGGCGGUCCGGUAAGUCCGCUGUGAAAGUCGAGGGCUCAACCUCGAAUGCCGGUGGAUACUGUCGGGCUUGAGUACGGGAGAGGCGAGUGGAAUUCCUGGUGUAGCGGUGAAAUGCGCAGAUAUCAGGAGGAACACCGAUUGCGAAGGCAGCUCGCUGGAACGUUACUGACGCUGAGACGCGAAAGCGUGGGGAGCAAACAGG
rnacentral:rRNA from 1 species